AGUGAACGCUGGCGGUAGGCCUAACACAUGCAAGUCGAAUGGCAGCACAGUGAGAGCUUGCUCUUACGGGUGGCGAGUGGCGGACGGGUGAGGAAUACAUCGGAAUCUACUUUUUCGUGGGGGAUAACGUAGGGAAACUUACGCUAAUACCGCAUACGACCUACGGGUGAAAGCAGGGGAUCUUCGGACCUUGCGCGAUUGAAUGAGCCGAUGUCGGAUUAGCUAGUUGGCGGGGUAAGGGCUCACCAAGGCGACGAUCCGUAGCUGGUCUGAGAGGAUGAUCAGCCACACUGGAACUGAGACACGGUCCAGACUCCUACGGGAGGCAGCAGUGGGGAAUAUUGGACAAUGGGCGCAAGCCUGAUCCAGCCAUACCGCGUGGGUGAAGAAGGCCUUCGGGUUGUAAAGCCCUUUUGUUGGGAAAGAAAAGCAGCAGGUUAAUACCCCGCUGUUCUGACGGUACCCAAAGAAUAAGCACCGGCUAACUUCGUG
rnacentral:rRNA from 1 species